AUGGGUUGAGAUGGUGGUGAGUGGUGGGUGAGGGUGAGCUAUUGCUUUGAUUUCAAGUGAAACUUUAAAGAGUGUGACAAUGUACAGUAACUAACAGAUUGAGGAUAUGGCAGUUGGCCACCUAAUCAAACAAGCAGUGAAAGCAACAUUAUCCUUUUGUCAUGUUAGGCAACAACAAUUUGCUUUAGUCAAUAUUGUCGUGACUCGUGAGAGUAUUUCAUUCUUAAUUAAAUAUUUUUAUUUUAAA